GGAUCAUGUUCGUGGCGGGUGCACGCAUCUGUUCCUGACGGAUGACAACACGGAUGCGACGCGGGUUGCGAUUCCGAUGAUCCUC
rnacentral:tRNA from 1 species